rnacentral:lncRNA from 1 species
AAUUUAUGUUAUGUUUCUUUAUGUUAAGGUAAUGGAGAAGCUUGUAGGCGUCGUCCAUUUGCUAAAUUUGGAGAUCCAUAUGGCAUUUGGUAGCUCUGGUAAUCAUCCAAAAUUUUCGAUAUAGUUUAAACAGUUAUGCUCGCCUUUUUAUGUCUUUGACACUAUUUUUUCCUUUUUCAGUAUGUGCUUGUCCAUUUUGAGUUCUUGUGAUUUAUCUUCUCCUCUUUUAGUGGCCCUUGUUCUCUUAAUAUUCUAAUCCCUUAUUCAUCUGAUAACGAAAAAAGAUGGUGUAAAAUUGUUCUUAUUUUUAUUUCUUUUUCAUGCUUCAUAAAUAUAACUAUAUGCAGUUCAGUGUUCGAAUAGUCCAAUAAUUCCUGGUUCAAUUAUUUAAUAAAAAAUGUGUAUUUUGUUUGUUCGUUGGGUGACUAUUGCAGAUGGAGAUAGGCCAAUAAAAAACCACCAGCAGAAGUUGGGAUCUGCUGGCCUUGCAC